rnacentral:tRNA from 1 species
GGGGGCGUAGCUCAGCUGGAAGAGCAACGGCUUUGCAAGCCGUAGGUCGGCGGUUCGAAUCCGCUCGCCUCCA